UACGUAGGGGGCAAGCGUUGUCCGGAAUCAUUGGGCGUAAAGCGCGCGUAGACGGCCCGGUAAGUCCGUUGUGAAAGUCAAAGGCUCAACCUUUGAACGCCGAUGGAUACUGCCGGGCUAGAGUCCGGAAGAGGCGAGUGGAAUUCCUGGUGUAGCGGUGGAAUGCGCAGAUAUCAGGAGGAACACCAAUAGCGAAGGCAGCUCGCUGGGACGGUACUGACGCUGAGGCGCGAAAGCGUGGGGAGCGAACAGG
rnacentral:rRNA from 1 species